GACGAACGCUGGCGGCGUGCCUAACACACGCAAGUCGAGCGGGAUCCAUCUGGUGGCAACACCGGGGAAGAUCUAGCGGCGAACGGGUGAGUAACACGUGAGAAACCUGCCCCGAACUUCGGGAUAACACGGGGAAACCCGUGCUAAUACCGAAUACCCUCUACCGGUCGCAUGGCCGGAAGCGGAAAGAUUCAUCGGUUCGGGAGGGUCUCGCGGCCUAUCAGCUAGUUGGCGGGGUAACGGCCCACCAAGGCAUCGACGGGUAGCUGGUCUGAGAGGACGAUCAGCCACACUGGGACAGAGACACGGCCCAGACUCCUACGGGAGGCAGCAGUGGGGAAUCUUGCGCAAUGGGCGAAAGCCUGAUGCAGCAACGCCGCGUGCGGGAUGAAGGCCUUCGGGUUGUAAACCGCUUUCAGCAGGGAAGAAAAUGACGGUACCUGCAGAAGAAGCCCCGGCCAACUACGUGCCAGCAGCCGCCGCCG
rnacentral:rRNA from 1 species